AAGGUCUUAGCUUAAUUAAAGUAUUUGUUUUGCAUACAGAAGAUGUGGGGUAGUGUCCUGCAGAUCUUA
rnacentral:tRNA from 10 species